CCAAAAAUAUAUAAGCAAUAAACAUCAUGGACUAACAUGAAAACAUGAAAACAUGAAAACAUCAUAAGCAAUAAACCAAUAUUGACAGAAAAAUUUCGUGCAAUAAAAUAAAAAAGAGUUUGUAACUAAUCUAGGUCCAGAACUAGUAUAUGCAUAUUCCACACAAUUCUAAUCUACAACUUUUGAGAUUUACCAAAUAAUAGGACCUUGUCAGCAACACAAACUAAAGACAGAUAUAUUUAAUAAGACAAAUCUUCACUUCCCGCCAGAAGAGGAAGGUUCGAGUACUAUCGAACUUACAAACACAAAGAUGGUGUAAAAGACUUACCACGACAUUGUCCCAUGAGAAUACAAGUCCAUAAGCUUCGUCUGGUUUCAUUGCGUAACGUAUUCCUGGAAGGAAACCCAUCUUCCAGUUUCUCAUUCCAGAAAUCCUACUUACAAUCCAAAAACGAAGUCACAUGUUACCACAUCAACUUAGAGAGGACCAUCCUGACUAAAAGUCUCAAAACCCUUCUUCAUACUCAGC
rnacentral:lncRNA from 1 species